AAAAAAUUAAAAGGACUGGGGAUGUGGCUCAGUGGUUGACUGCCCCUGGGUUCAAUCCCCAGUACCCUUCCCCCCAAAUUGAGAGUAUAUUACACUAAAAACUGUAUGUGAAUGUUUACGGUGGUUUUAUUCAUAAUCACCAAAACCCAGAAACAAUCAAGACCCCCUUUGUAAGUGAGGGGCUACACCAACUGUGACACAUCUGUGCAAUGAAAUAAAAGAAAUGAGCUGGGAAAAGACACAGAAGGACUUUAAAAUGCGCAUUGCUAAGUGAAAAAAAAAACAGUCCAAAAAAAUCUGCACAAUACAUGGGUCCAAGUAUAUGACACUUUGGAAAAAGCAAAACUGUAGAAGCAGUAGAAAGAUCAGUGGUUGCCAGGGGUUUGAUGGGGAAGGAGGUAAAGAGGGA
rnacentral:lncRNA from 1 species